AGAGUUUGAUCCUGGCUCAGAACGAACGCUGGCGGCAUGCCUAACACAUGCAAGUCGAACGGGCACCUUCGGGUGUCAGUGGCGCACGGGUGCGUAACGCGUGGGAAUCUGCCCUGGGGUACGGAAUAACACAGAGAAAUUUGUGCUAAUACCGUAUGAUGUCGCAAGACCAAAGAUUUAUCGCCCUGGGAUGAGCCCGCGUUGGAUUAGCUAGUUGGUGGGGUAAAGGCCUACCAAGGCGACGAUCCAUAGCUGGUCUGAGAGGAUGAUCAGCCACACUGGGACUGAGACACGGCCCAGACUCCUACGGGAGGCAGCAGUGGGGAAUAUUGGACAAUGGGCGAAAGCCUGAUCCAGCAAUGCCGCGUGAGUGAAGAAGGCCUUCGGGUUGUAAAGCUCUUUUGCCCGGGAUGAUAAUGACCGACCGGAGAAUAAGC
rnacentral:rRNA from 1 species